UGAUUUUCCUGUCUUGAUCUUGCUCAUCCUUGAGACAACAGCUCCCCUGGGGGGACUCUGGCUGCCAAGAAGGUUAGAAGAGAGCAGCAUUUCUCUUGGUCAGCUCAAGGUCACUCACUAACGUCAGAGGUGGCAGCUCCCUGGGAUCUGAGACCUGAACAAUGACAAUUUUGCGUCCCAGUAGCUGUCUGUGUCCUUAAUCUGACGGGAGUUAAAGACGUGAUGAAGUCGUACCCCAGACAUCCUGGAACAAAUGACAGUAUUCUAUGACUCUGAGGCAAGUGGUAAGGAUGGUGGAACCCCUUUGUCCUGCUUCUUUUUGGUUCAGAGUUUGGCAAACAUCCUUUAGAAAGAGACUAUAUUCCCUGUAGGCCAGCCCCUGGUCAUCUCAGGGUAGAUAUCAGGAGGACAGAGAAAUAAGUCGAGGAUUCAGGGAGUUGACGGAAGGGUAACAGGCAUAUUGACCUAAGUGGCACCAUUUCUUCCUUCCUUCCUUCCUUCCUUCCUUCCUUCCUUCCUUCCUUUCCUUUCUUUCCUUCCUUUCCUUCCUUUCCUUCCUUUCCUUCUUUCCUUCCUUUCUUCUUUCCUUACUUUUUUCUUUCCUUCCUUCCUUUCUUUUAUCCUCCCUUCCUUUCUUUUUUUUAAUUGUAUAAUUUUGAAAAGAGGCUAAAUAGCCUCAGGACCCUCCCAAAUCAAGAAGCAGUUGUAGGUUCCAAUACACUUAAGCAUUAAAGUGAGACCACCAGGACUCGCUUCCCCGGGAAAGAUGAUGUCAUCUACAUGGAUUUUCAAAGGCAAAGAUGAUGUCAUCCGCAUAGGGUCUCAAAGACUUAGAAAGCAGACAGAAGGAUGUGGGGAGGUGGGCUUUCCAUCUGUGAGGAGGCACCCUAGUCAGGAAUGCUAUUGACGGGAGAAAUUACUGUUCAGGUAUUAACGAGUUUCUAAUUUUUUUCCCCAUGAGGUAAAGAGGGACCAGAGUGACGAGCCCAGGAGAGCCAGGGAGAGAAGCUGGAAGCUGCAAGAAGGACACACAGAGAAAAACAAAGCAGACUCAGCUAUGAGAGCCCAGGUCUGAGCUGCAACUCAGGAGAGUAGUGUGGCUGCCCCGAUGGCAGGAGCCAAGGUCUGGCUGUGUGUUGGCUAGAAAAACAUGGUUUGGCUUGUGGAGUGAUGUGUCUUUCCACAGCAAGAUACACACAAAAAUAAGCAUACGUGCAUACAUAGAAAUACAUACAUGCAUACAUAGACAUACAUACAUGCAAGGUAUAGAAGAGUCCAAGUCAAAGAGAUGCGGGGAAAAAAGCCCAGAACUCAAAAUUUUAGCUAAGUUUUAAAACACAAAAAUACUUCUGGAAGAGCCAGUGGUCUCCUGGCAUCCCUGUCAGCUGAGAGCAGCAUCUACCUCUUUUUGAACACAUUGGGUAUGGUGAGGGGUAAAGAGGAAUCAUGAAGCCAGAGGCUGGGCCUUGAGAAGGGUUAGAAGCAUGGUGCUAGGGUACAAUGACAGAGAACAGUAUAGGCUGGGGCAGGGUCUGGGCUACUCCUGGAUACAGUCCUGUCCAGGCUACACACAUUUGUUGAAAAUGAACCUGAGCUGGCCACAGACGUGUGAGCUGUGUGGUCAGAGGAGCACUGCUCUCCGUCCUCAGGCUAAGGUCUACAAUUCCAGAUCACCUUCCAAAACACAAUCCCUGGAUAUCUCCCUCUCUUCCUCUCUCCCUCUCUUCCUCUCUCCCUCUCUUGGUUUUGCUUUUUGAGACAGGGUUUCUCUGUCUAGCCUUGGCUGUCCUGGAACUCACUGUGAAGACCAGGCAGGCUGGCCUUGAACUCACAGAGAUUUGCCUGCCUCUAAUUCUUGAGUGCUGACACUAAAGUCAUGCAUCACCACUGCCUGGCAUGGAUCUUUCUUCUCUUUCCUAACCAGAAAUGCUUCAAGGGGCAACUGUGACUGAAUGUAUAAUUUUUUUUUUUAACUACAACCUUCCUGUCUGUCUGUCCAUUCAUCUAUGCACUGUCUGUCUGCCUCUCUGUCCAUCCAUCCAUUCAUCCUCUAUCUAUCUAUCUAUCUAUCUAUCUAUCUAUCUAUCUAUCUAUCUAUCUAUCUAUCUAUCGAUCUGUAUAUCGAUAUACACACUUGCAGUAUCUUUUAUGCGAAAGCCUCUCAGUGACAUCACCUUCCGAGCAUCCUUUGGCCAUGACCACUAUGAACAGCUGCAGCUUUCAGAUUCACUCGAACUCAAGAAAAGACAUCCAGAGACUGACUCUAGCUGCCUUCACACAGCAGCCUCAACUCAAAGAGGAGUGCAGAUCUAAGGCUCAAUGAAAACAGGACACCUUGACAUUCCAGCCUGACCACAGAGCUCCCUCUGGUGGCUCUUUGGUGCAUGCUCCCCCCCUCCCCCAAAUUUUGAAAUGAUGUAAUGCCAAGAUAAGCACAGACUGUUUUUUUUUAUAUACCUUUUAUUAGGUAUUUUCCUCAUUUACAUUUCCAAUGCUAUCCCAAAAGUCCUCCAUACCCUCCCACCCACUCCCCUACCCACCCACUCCCACUUUUUGGCCCUGGCGUUCCCCUGUACUGGAGCAUAUAAAGUUUGCAAGUCCAAUGGGCCUCUCUUUCCAGUGAUGGCCGACUAGGCCAUCUUUUGAUACAUAUGCAGCUAGAGUCAAGAGCUCCGGGGUACUGGUUAGUUCAUAAUGUUGUUGCACCUACAGGGUUGCAGAUCUCUUUAGCUCCUUGGAUACUUUCUCUAGUUCCUCCAUUGGGGGCCCUGUGAUCCAUCCAAUAGCUGACUGUGAGCAUCCACUUCUGUGUUUGCUAGGCCCCGACAUAGUCUCACAAGAGACAGCUACAUCUGGGUCCUUUCAGCAAAAUCUAAGCACAGACUGUUAAGUCUCAGAUUAAAUAUUCUCUCUCUCUCUCUCUCUCUCUCUCUCUCUCUCUCUCUCUCUUCCCAGCCCCCACUGGCUAUACUGAACCUAUGCUGCUUUCAAACUCCUAAGUGUACUGAUUCUUCCAGGAACCACAGGAGGCAAUGAGGUUCCCGAGUGGACCAAGAUCACCUAGACAGUGAGUUGUGGAGCAGAUUGGACAGUGACAGCCAAGCUGUACUCUAGAUCCAUGGCUCAGUCAUGCCCUUGGGCAGUGCACAGAGCCGUUAUCUGCCAGUAUUUGCAGCAGCCAGUAAGCAUGAAACACGGGACACUCCAUGGAUCAGCAAGAAGCACUUAGAUUUCUUUCAAAAUCACCAUUUUAGAUCAAUGUAGCCACAUUUGCUGUCAAAGGCUGCUUUGCUCUACAAGGCAGCCCCCUUAGAAUGGUUUUUCAGCUGCAAUUUUCUGCUAGUGCCACAAAUCUAAGCCUAUUUUCUAUUUACAUAUAUGUUUAUAUAAGUUCCCUUAUAUUAAAAUGUAAAGAUUGCAUUUACUGUUUCUUCUGUCCCCUCUAGAUAAGGUUUUCAGACAAAUUUAAUGGGUUCUAGGGCUUUUGAAAGUUUUCUUAAAGGCCUGGCAUGUGUUGUCCUCCCUCCUUAUAAUCUGGAACACUAAAUUCCUGAGGUUUGAAAGUAUACUGCUCUGGGAGCCAAAAACUAAUCAAGCUUGCAUCUGGCUCUGCUUCCAGCAGCUGUCUGACCUAGGCAGGCAGUUCAUGUUUCUGGAUUCCUGUUUUCUUAUCUAUAAAAGAGAAGUAUUUAACCAGAUGAAUUUUAUGCCUCCUACUAGCUGGAAUAUUAAAUUCUGUGGUUGGUGAGAGAGAAUAUGCGCAAUGCCCUAAUGAUUAUCAGGUGUUAUAACUUCUCUCAGACAGUUGGACAACAGACACUCCACUUUUUAGCCUUGCCAUUCCUCAGAUCCUGUGUGAAAUGGGCUGCCAUGCUUAGAGUGGAAACACAAACCCAGCCAUGGGAAUGAAAUCUCUCUUAUGUCACUGUCUAGCCUCUAAGCACUUCGUUAGGAAGAAAAAGAGUCGAGAUGGGCCUUCCUGACCUGUGGGCUGCAUGCACACAGGGGACACGUGCUCUGUUACAGACUGCGUACCGUGGAAGCCCUUCAGCAUCUCAGUAAUGCUGUAGCGGAGACAGGCUGCUUUCAAAUGAGCGUUCCUCUUCCUUUCAAUGUGAGUGCUCAGCAUGCUUGGAAAGGAGCAAACCCCUAACUUGUAAAGCAUCCUAUCGGCAUAGCUCUUCGUACCUCACCUUCAUAGAUGGUGAGGGCAAGAAGCCAGCUCUAGCCUUUUUCCUGAGAUCACUAUUGAGCAGAGUCAGGGCAGGGUCAGUGGAAGGGAAGGAGAACUUGAGGAACCACUGCUCCCUGAACACCACAUACCGAGCCAGGGAUGCUCCCAAUAUACAAAGGAUCUGCAUCAUCAUUACUAAGUUAAUAAUCCAAUCUACAGAAAAAUAACCUUAGGAUUGGAAGCAAAACAAAACAGUGUUCUAGUGAAGUCUGUCACCCCUUAGAUCCUGAGGGAAAAGGACAGAUGGACUUAGAAUCCACAAUAAAGGAUUGCACAGGGACAAAUAGCAUCUCCAGUGGGUUCUCAUCCAGUCUCUGAGCACGUCUGCAUUGAAUAAAGGUGUGGCUAAAAUAGGGAAGCCAGGAAGGAAAUGGAAAACUCCCCUAAAGAUCACAUCCAUGGGGCCCGAUUCCUGGAUCUGAAAGGAAAAGAAAUUCCUAGUGAGAUGUGAGAUCUUUAGCCACAGGAGCCCCAGCCGUCAUUGGAGCAAGGUGACCACUUUGAACUUGGGACUGGUCCUUCCCUCUUUCCACAGGGCAGUUCUUAGAGGUCAGCUUUUCUUUUCCUAUUAAAAAUAAAAUUACAUUGAUGUAUUUAUUUGUGUGGCACCUGUACAGAAGUUAGAUCUCUCCUUUCAUCGUGUAGGGCCCAGGGAUAGACCUCAGGUUGUAAAGCUGAGUGGCAGGCACCCUUGCCCCACUGAGCCAUCCCAAAGACUUUCAAGUAUGGAACAGGGUGGAGAAAGGCAGAGUAACUGAAAGGUAAGCAGGGAUCGUCCAUCAGUAAGGUAGAGACUCAGGACAAGGAAGAGGCUGAUGUGUGGAGGAAUGCUCCUCCAGCUGCAGAGAGCUUGAAGAAACGGGGGUUGGGGGGGGGGAGACGACGACAGAGUCUAGCUCUCUGCAAGUGUAGUCAAAGGUGAUAAGUACUGCAUCCCUUUUAAUAAGAGACAUGUGCACUUCAUAGCUAUGGGGGAAACAUGGCUAGAAGCUAUGCUUUCUGGCUGCUUUCUCUUGGAGGUUUCCAGGCAGCUGUCUCUUUAACUGACAUGUCUUCUGUUUGCUUUUUCUUCUCAAAUUUGGUUCAUGACAGUCAGGGUUCUCCCCUCUUUUUCUCAAUACAUGCUUUCUUUUCCUCGUUCACGUUUGCUCCUCAUCCUUCCACAGCUCCAAGACUCGCCUUUUCCAUUUCAGUUGUAUUAAAGGGAGAGGGGAGCUGGAUUAGGGAUCACAUAGAAAUGUCCCAUCCUGGUCUCACCUCCUGCCCUCUCUGAACUUACAACCAUCAUUUCUUCAUCUACAAAGUGAGAGGCUCAAGUUGACCAUUGCGUUCACCUACUCGAGGACCUUCCUGAAGGCUCACUGUCUGUCUGGUUAGUGUGCAGAAUGUGUGAGACCGAAGAGAUGUCACGAUGACCUUCUUCAUGAGCUGAGGACAACAGCCAUUAUGGAAAUGACCAAAUCAGGUAGCUUUCUCAUUGGAGUAAAGUUCAGGGUGCUAGGCCGGCAUAUUGCUAAUGUCAGCAGCUCCAUGCGAGUGGGUUGGGACCAGAGGCAAGGACCAUUUCUAAAGGAGUGUGAGAGCCCUGGGAGGGUAUAAAGAUGCUGGCAUUCUUAUCCCCAGAGCUUGUGAACAUGCUACUUUAAAUGACAAAGGUUUAAUGAGUUAACUGUUUUAGAUGAGUUUAUUCUGGAUUACCUAAGUAGACCCAAUGCCAUCAUAAGUUCCUUAUACAAGGAGGGAGAGAGAUUAAAAGAUACUACUAUGUUGCCUUUGAAGACAGAAGAGACAGCGUGAAGGAACAUGCAGACCUUCUAGGACAGUAGGACCAUGGUUCUCAACCUGCGGGUCUCAAUCUGUUUGAGGGUCAAAUGACCCUUUCUCAGGGGUUGUCUAAGACGGUUGGAAAAGACAGAUAUUUACAUUACAGUUCGUAACAGUAGCAAAAUUAGGGUUAUGAAGUAGCAAUAAAAAAUAAUCUUAUGGUUGGGGGGGUUUUGCUACAAUGUGAACUGCAUUAAUGGGUGGCAGCUUUAGGAAGGUUGAGAAACUCUUCUCCACCAACUUCUAGGAACACAGUCUUGAUGACAUUUUGAGUUGAACCCACCGAAACCUAUGAGUUUUUUGUUUGUUUGUUUGUUUGUUUGUUUGUUUUUUACUCUUUGUGUCAAAACUGUACUAUAAUAAAUUUCAAGUUUUAAGCUACAAGAUGCAUGAGAUUUUUUUCAUUACUAUUGGGAAACUGCAUCUGA
rnacentral:lncRNA from 1 species